AUUGAACGCUGGCGGCAUGCCUUACACAUGCAAGUCGAACGGCAGCACGGGGGCAACCCUGGUGGCGAGUGGCGAACGGGUGAGUAAUACAUCGGAACGUGCCCGGUAGUGGGGGAUAGCUCGGCGAAAGCCGGAUUAAUACCGCAUACGACCUGCGGGUGAAAGCGGGGGAUCGCAAGACCUCGCGCUAUCGGAGCGGCCGAUGUCAGAUUAGGUUGUUGGUGGGGUAAAGGCCACCAAGCCGACGAUCUGUAGCUGGUCUGAGAGGACGACCAGCCACACUGGGACUGAGACACGGCCCAGACUCCUACGGGAGGCAGCAGUGGGGAAUUUUGGACAAUGGGCGCAAGCCUGAUCCAGCCAUGCCGCGUGCGGGAA
rnacentral:rRNA from 1 species